rnacentral:lncRNA from 1 species
UAUAAAAGAGGAAAGGAUACAUAGUUGGCUUACACUCGCCACGUCACACAAAUACAUGAGUAACAUUACAAUCAUCCAAUACACUCAUGGUCUGACUAUGGUACCAAAAUAAAAGAUCAACCCCAACAUGCGACAUGGUCCCCGAUCGCCCCAACUGGGCACCACUACUGAUCAUCUGGGAAAGACACAUAGUAACGGCGAGAGUCUUCGUCGAACUCCCACUUGAGCUCAAGCGCAUCAUCUGGAACGGUAUCAUCGGUCCCUGCAUCUGGUUUGGAAGUAAUCUGUGAGUCACGGGGACUCAGCAAUCUCGCACCCUCGCGAUCAAGACUAUUUAAGCUUAUAGAAAAGGCAAGGUAAAUAUGUGGACCUGCAGCAAGCGACUAGCAUAUAUGGUGGCUAACAUGUUCGCAAAAGAGAGCGAGAAGAGAAGGCAAAGCACGAACGAAAAACUAUGAUCAAGAAGUGAUCCUAGAACAACCUACGUCAAGCAUUACUCCAGCACCGUGUUCACUUCCCGGACUCCGCCGAGAAGAGACCAUCACGGUAACACACGCGGUUGAUUCAUUUUAAUUAAGUUAAGUUUCAAGUUAUCUACAACCGGACAUUAACAAAUUCCCAUCUGCCCAUAAUCGCGGGCACGGCUUUCGAAAGUUCAAAUCCCUGCAGGGGAGUCCCAACUUAGCCCAUCACAAGCUCUCACGGUCAACGAAGGAUAUUCCUUCUCCCGAGACAUUCUGAUCAGACUCGGCAUCUCGGUUUUACAAGACAUCCUCGACAAUGGUAAAACAAGUCCAGCAACACUGCCCGAAUGUGUCGACAAAUCCCGAUAGGAGCUGCAUAUAUCUCGUUCUCAGGGCACACUCAAAUGAGCUAGACGUCGGGUAGGCCAGCCCAGAGUUGCCCCUGGUAGCCCCGGACAUCACUCAGUUGGACCAACACUUAGAGAAGCACUAGCCCGGGGGGGUUAAAAAUAAAGAUGACCCUUGAGUCCGCGAAACCCAAGGGAAAAAGGCUAGAUGGUGAAUGGUAAAACCAAAGUUGGGCAUUGCUGGAAGAGUUUUAUUCAAGGCGAACUGUCAAGGGGUUCCCAUUAUAACCCAACCGCGUAAGGAACGCAAAAUCCGGGAACAUAAUAGCGAUAUGACGGAAACUAGGGCGACAAGAGUGGAACAAAACACUAGGAAAAAGGCCGAGCCUUCCACCCUUUACCAAGUAUAUAGGUGCAUUAAGAUAACAAGAUAAUAUAGUGAUAUCCCAACAAUAAACAAUGUUCCAACAAGGAACGAUCUCCAAUCUUCACCUGCAACUAGCAACUCUAUAAGAGGGGUUGAGCAAAGCGGUAACAUAGCCAAUCAACGGUUUGCUAGGACAUGGUGGGUUAGAGGUUUGACAUGGCAAUUUGGGAGACAUGAUAAGCAUGUGGUAGGCAUCGUAGCAUAGGCAUAGCAAAAGAACGAGCAUCUAACAAGCAAAGAUAGAAGUGAUUUCGAGGGUAUGAUCAUCUUGCCUGCAAAGUUGUCAGAGUUGCCUUGAUCCUCAUAAGAAAACUCAACGGG